rnacentral:rRNA from 1 species
UACUAGAGUAGCACUCGCAUAUCAAUAAGCGGAGGAAAAGAAACUAACAAGGAUUCCCCUAGUAACGGCGAGUGAAGCGGGAAGAGCUCAAAUUUGAAAUCUUAAAGGGUUUCCCUUUACGAAUUGUAGUUUAAAGAAGUGUUUUCUGUUGAGGUUUUGGUAAAAGUUCUUUGGAAUAGGACAUCAUAGAGGGUGAGAAUCCCGUAUUUGACCUUUACUUUCAACUUUGUGAUACACUUUCAAAGAGUCGGAUUGUUUGGGAAUGCAGUCCAAAAUGGGUGGUAAAUUUCAUCUAAAGCUAAAUAUUGGCGAGAGACCGAUAGCGAACAAGUACCGUGAGGGAAAGAUGAAAAGAACUUUGAAAAGAGAGUUAAACAGUACGUGAAAUUGUCAAAAGGGAAGCGUUUGACACCAGUGUUGUUUUUCUGAAAAUCAAUUAAAGAACUGUUUAUGCUAAGCUGUUUAGACUUUAUCAGCUAAUCUGUUUAGUUUUGAGCUUUUCUUUAAUGCACUUUUCAGUUAACAAGUCAACAUCAAUUUCUUUUGCUGUAAAAAAGCUUGAGGAAGGCGGCUUGAGAUUCGUCUUAAGUGUUUAUAGCCUCUUGCCUAUGCAGUCGGAGAGAUUGAGGUCUGCAGCGUAGAUCCUUCGGGGCUAAAUGCAUUUGUGCUAAGUUAUAGCAUUUUAUAGACAACUUGUUGACUAUGAUUUGUCUUGUAGCUUACUCGCUUAUGUUAUUUUACCUACGCUUAGGAUGUUGAACUACUGAGACAUAGA